UAUAGCACAGUUGAUUGUACAUGGCUGGUUUGGGGAUUGCUUCAAUUUUCACUUCCUGAGUGGAAGUUCGGUAGGAAGGGUUGCUGUAGGUCAGGUUCCCCAUUGCAGGAUCAGUUAACUUGGAUUUUUUGUUACCUGUACAGCAUCAAAGCCGCGAUCACCACCAGAAUAAGCAGAAUGCUGAGGAGUCCACCGAUGACAUAGCUGACAUGAAGUCCUUCCCCUAGGAAGAGCAGAGGGACGCUAGGUGGGGACCCCCGACAAUCUUCUAGCUGGUGUGAGGGGUGGGAAGAUGGAGGGCUCCUUUUGUAGCUGUUGCAUCCCAUACCAUCUGAGGAUGGCUAGGGGCCUCCUUCUCAGAGAAGAGGCCACAGCGGGAGGGGGGAGGGGGCUGAGAAGAAACCUAUCACUAUGUCAGCAUCUCUAAUCCCACUUCCACUACUUACUAGCUGUGUGACUUAAAGCAAGAUGCUUAACUUCUAAGCCUGUGUUUUCUCAUCAGUUAAAUGUAAAUAAAUUGCUCAUAGGGCUGGUGGAGAUUGAAGGUGAGUGUGUACAUACAAAUACAUAUACAUACACGCAUGCGCACAUAAAUAUGGCUUAACAAGUGCCUAGCACACAGAAAGCACUCCAUAAGUGGCAGCUAUUAUGGUUAUUCUUUUUAUGGAUUUAGUCUAAGAAAAGGGUUCAUCAACCCCAAAGAGUUCCCAUGAAGGUUCUGCAAGAUAUCAAUGGAGACUUAGAUUCCUUACAUCUUGUUUUUCAAAACAGUUGGGCACUGAGGGCUUACCUGAAGCAGCAGGUACGGCCUCAUUGGAAUACGUGCAGAGGCCCAGCCGGGCAUCCUUUUCAGAGCAUCUGUGGGGCAGAGAAAACUGAAUGUGAAGGCUACUUAUAUUCAACAAAGAUCUUGCCUUCUGCCAGGAAAUGGGGACAGUCCUGUGAAGGACAGGGCUAAAGGCCUGGGAGUGGGGCUUUCAGAUAUGAGACUAUACCAGACAGGAGAUAGCAGAAGCAAGGAGAGGGCAGGACAAGAAAAUACAGAGAAAUCAGCAUGAGCCACUGUCUUCAAGAUGCUAUAUCAUGUUUAAAUGUGUUUUAAAAUGUGUACUCUUUUUUGUUGUUGUUUUUGGCCGUGCAGCUUGUGGGAUCCCAGCUCCCUGACCAGGGAUUGAACCCAGGCCCUCGGCAGUGAAAGCGUGGAGUCCCAACCACUAGACCACCAGGGAAUUCCCUAAAAUAUGUACUCUUUAAAGAGGAUUCUUUAAAAAGGAGAAGCAGGUUUGGGAGUGAGCUGAAAGAAUACUAAGGACAUCAGUAGCAGACUUUAUUAAGCUACCAGCCAAGCAAACCUUGGAUUGGAUCAAGAUUAUCACAAGGUCUAGAGAGACUUAAAAAAAUAUAUUGUUUUUCUUUCCUUCAUUCUUUCACAAGGGAAUAUGCAAGACAUCCAGAGAGAGGGCUUGGAUAACUAGCUUGAAAUGCUGAGACGGUAACUCCUUUGUGGCACGUUAUGAGCUGGCAAGUAAAGACAUGUCCUAAAAGUUUAGAGAAGAGCUACCUGCAGGAGCAUCCGAAACCAAGAUGUACUGAGUCUUCAGAUGCAACUCUGAUAGGAAGAAAAUAUCUGAGUAGGGUUCAAAAGUUUUCUAAAUAAACCUGAAUAAAAUCAGAUUAAUAAUGAUUGUGCUUAAAAUUUAGUGAGAAAGGUACACGUUUAUAUCUGUUUGUUUUUCUAUAUAAACUCUUCUAACGAGAAAAUGGGGUAUAUAGAAUAAGUUUGAUCAUGUACAAAUCUUAUCAUUUUAGGGACGUUGAGUCUAGUGGUCUUAUUUGGAAUUAUUACUAUGUUUCUGCCUUCAGAAUUGAAAUCACGUGUUAAUUAUCUUUUAAGCUACUGUUGAUAUUAAAAAUAAUAUUACAAUGAAAAAUGUUCUAAUAGAAGAAUGCCUGGGAAGAUAGACAUCAGUAUAGUAAGAGUAGGAAAUGAAAUCACUGUCUCAAAAAGAUAUCUGCACCCCCAUGUUCAAUGUAGAAUUAUUUACAAGAGCCAAAACAUGGAAACCACCUAAGCGUCCAUCAGUGGAUGAAUGGAUAAAGAAAAUGUGGUAUAGGUAUACAGUGGAACAUUAUUCAGCCAUGAAAAAGGACAUUCUGCUAAGUAAAAUAAGUCAGACAGAGAAAGACAAAUACUAUAUGAUAUCACUUAUAUGUGGAAUCUGAAAAAGAAAAAAAAACCAACUCAUAGAUAAAUUGAUACCAUAAAGAUUGGCAGUUGCCAGAGGUUGGGGGUGGACAAAAUGAGUGAAGAUGGUCAAAAGGCUCAAACUUCCAGUUAUAAGAUAAGUUAAGUCCUGGGGAUGUAAUGUACAUCAUAGUGACUAUAGUUAACAAUAUUGUAUGUCUGAAAGUUGCUAAGAGAGUAGAUUUUAAAAGUUUUCAUUAUAAGAAAAAAAAAAGUAUAUAUGUGUGGUGAUGGAUGUUAACUGGACUUACUGUGGUAACCAUUUCACAAUAUACACAUAUAUCAAAUCAGAAAAAACACUAAAGGUAAUUACACAUGAGUACUUAUUUCUUUUUUACUCCUAUCUGUAUUUUCAGAUGAUUUUUUUUGCAAGGUGUAAAUAAAAAACAUAUUUAUAAGACUUUCUCUAAAUGGAAUAUAACAUGAUAUUUCAUCAAUUUUAAGAUGUGCAUUUUUUCUAUAUUCUAAUAUCUCUGAGAUAGGACUGUGUCUUACAAUUAAUGGCAUCUCACAGUUGCUGUUGGUCAUUUUUUCAGUUUAAUCUCUCAAAUCAGGAUGCAUUUUAAAUUGACAGCACCUUCAGUCUAAUGAAAUAUAAUGUUUUACACUUAAUUUGAGAGCCGUUCAUGGUUAUGCUUGCUUAUUUAAUAACGGGGUGUGUGUGUGUGUACACAUGCACAUACAUGCAUGUGCGUUUGAGUGUUACAGGUCAUUAUAAACUAAGGCCAUCACAUCCCUGGGGAUGUCCCAAGUUAAAAAGCCACAGCCCAGAGACCACUAUGACUUAGUGGCUUCUAAGUAAACUGUAGGACAAGACCACGUGCUAAACUUGUUCUGUGAGAGCAAACGUAACUGAAAGAAAGGAAGAAGGAGGAAUGCCGGGCAGAAACUCCUCCUGAGUGAUUUCUCUCUAAAGCUCGUCUUAAAGCUUCUUGCCUUCAGAGCUAAAAAAAAGAAUUACUUGCAACAACCUGCAAGUCUAAAUAUCAUCUCCAGUUCCAAGUAGCAGGGACAGGUGGCUAAUGAUGUGAUCUACCUCCCAUCUGCCAGAAUCAUCAAGCUGGGCCUACGGUCUUCUGCUGGCAGGGCAUGGCGAUUUGAAUCAAAGAGCCCCCAAUUCCAUACUGACCCACUUACCUCCCUUCCACCUCCUCCAGAGAUGUGCGGGUCCAGCUGGUAGAAGAACGCAAGGUCGUCGGUAGCGUGUUGGGUAGCACGGGGCUCCUUUCACUUACGCUGGUAGCCCUGGGAGCUGGGGGCACCAGGCCAGGUACUGGAGAGAAAACAAGGACUGGAGUGGAUCACUGGAGCCACAAAUAUCUACAUAUGGUCCAAGAGUAGCAUGUGGAGAACUUGAUAAAGCAAUUUUUUAGCUGCCCUGAUCCUAGGCACCCCUGUUAGAUGUCCUUCUUAAUACUGUACAUAAAAAGGAUUUGGUUUCCAAUAUAUAUUUUUUAAUAAAUUUAUUUAUUUUAUUUA